rnacentral:rRNA from 1 species
GGGGACUUCGGUCCUAGUGGCGAACGGUCGCGUAACACGUAAGCAACCUGCCCUGAAGUGGGGGACAACAUCCCGAAAGGGGUGCUAAUACCGCAUGUGGUCACGAGUCGGCAUCGGCUUGUGUCUAAAGAUUUAUCGCUUCAGGAUGGGCUUGCGGCCUAUCAGGUAGUUGGUGGGGUAAUGGCCUACCAAGCCGACGACGGGUAGCUGGUCUGAGAGGACGAUCAGCCGGAUUGGGACUGAGAUACGGCCCAGACUCCUACGGGGGGCAGCAAUUAGGAAUCUUGCGCAAUGGGGGAAACCCUGACGCAGCGACGUCGCGUGAAGGAUGAAGGCCCUCGGGUCGUAAACUUCUUUUGAGUGGGAAGAAAUUUGACGGUACCACUCGAAUAAGCCCCGGCUAACUACGUGCCAGCAGCCGCGGUAAUACGUAGGGGGCGAGCGUUGUCCGAAGUUACUGGGCGUAAAGCGCGCGUAGGCGGUUAUUCAAGUCUGGGGU